UUUAAUUGGUAGCCAUUUAUGAAAAGGGUCUAUUGCAAUGGCUCGCCGCUUCUCUGCCCGAUAAAUGCCACUUCUUCGUCUUCCUAUAUGUAUUUAGAUUACAGUAUCCAAGAGUAAUUCAUUGUAGAAUAGUCCCAAACGAAAAAUUGAAAAAAAGGAAAAACCUCCCACAACACUUGUUGUAUUACUGAUCCAUUGUAUCACAAGCCAGUUAAAAGUGAGUUUUUCAUGUUCAUUUUUCAUGUUCAUGAUUUAAAAAAGAUAAAAAUUGAAAAAAAGGAAAAACCUCCCACAACACUUGUUGUAUUACUGAUCCAUUGUAUCACAAGCCAGUUAAAAGUGAGUUUUUCAUGUUCAUUUUUCAUGUUCAUGAUUUAAAAAAGAUAACUCCUCUAGAUGAUUGUGCUCUCCCAUCCCAUGCUUUUUCAUCCUCAUUGUCGAGUUAAACGCCUUUGAUACAACCGGCCCCUGCACGAAAAACCAAUUGGUAAUUAAUUUCAAUGAAACAAUAAACUAGCUACAGUGAAACAACGGUUAACUUUAUUA